UACGUAGGGUGCGAGCGUUAAUCGGAAUUACUGGGCGUAAAGCGUGCGCAGGCGGUUUGUUAAGACAGAUGUGAAAUCCCCGGGCUCAACCUGGGAAUUGCAUUUGUGACUGCCCGACUAGAGUGUGUCAGAGGGGGGUAGAAUUCCACGUGUAGCAGUGAAAUGCGUAGAGAUGUGGAGGAAUACCAAUGGCGAAGGCAGCCUCCUGGCCUAAUACUGACGCUCAUGCACGAAAGCGUGGGGAGCAAACAGG
rnacentral:rRNA from 1 species